rnacentral:rRNA from 1 species
UAGUACGGCGAGUGAAGAGGGAAGAGCCCAAGAUUGAAAGCUGGCGUCUUCGGCGUCCGCAUUGUAAUCUCAAGAAGUGUUUUCCGCUUCGGACCAUGCCUAAGUCCCUUGGAAAAGGGCAUCAUAGAGGGUGAUAAUCCCGUACAUGGCAUGGAGCGCCCGAAGCUUUGUGAUACGCUUUCUACGAGUCGAGUUGUUUGGGAAUGCAGCUCAAAAUGGGUGGUAAAUGCCAUCUAAGGCUAAAUAUUGGGGAGAGACCGAUAGCGAACAAGUACAGUGAUGGAAAGAUGAAAAGAACUUUGAAAAGAGAGUUAAACAGUACGUGAAAUUGCCAAAAGGGAAGGGUAGGAGGUCAGAGAUGCGUCUUGGGAUUCAGCCUUGCUUUUGCAUGGUGUUUUUCCCAAGUUGCAGGCCAACGUCGGUUUUGGGCACUGGAGAAGGGUAGGAGGAACGUGGCACCUCUCGGGGUGUGUUAUAGCCUCCUACUGGAUACAGCGACCGAGACCGAGGAACGCAGCGUACUCGUAAGAGCGGGCCUUUUGGCACCUUUACGCUUAGGGCGUUGGCAUAAUGGCCCUCUACCACACGUCUU